rnacentral:rRNA from 1 species
CAGUAGCCGCGGGAAAACAGAGGGUGCGAGCGUUAAUCGGAUUUACUGGGCGUAAAGCGUGCGUAGGCGGCUUCUUAAGUCGGAUGUGAAAUCCCUGAGCUUAACUUAGGAAUUGCAUUCGAUACUGGGAAGCUAGAGUAUGGGAGAGGAUGGUAGAAUUCCAGGUGUAGCGGUGAAAUGCGUAGAGAUCUGGAGGAAUACCGAUGGCGAAGGCAGCCAUCUGGCCUAAUACUGACGCUGAGGUACGAAAGCAUGGGGAGCAAACAGGAUUAGAUACCCGGGUAGUCCCUGUCUCUUAUAA